UACGUAGGGUGCGAGCGUUAAUCGGAAUUACUGGGCGUAAAGUGUGCGCAGGUGGCUUCGCAAGUCGAGUGUGAAAUCCCCGGGCUUAACCUGGGAACUGCAUUUGUGACUGCAUGGCUAGAGUGCGGCAGAGGGGGAUGGAAUUCCGCGUGUAGCAGUGAAAUGCGUAGAUAUGCGGAGGAACACCGAUGGCGAAGGCAAUCCCCUGGGCCUGCACUGACGCUCAUGCACGAAAGCGUGGGGAGCAAACAGG
rnacentral:rRNA from 1 species